rnacentral:lncRNA from 1 species
GCAUGUCAAAUUUAGUGGAAUAAAUUUAGUAUAUUAAAUUAAGUUAGUACUUAACAUUUACUUGUCAUUGCCAUGAUAUCUAUUAAUUAAAUAAUAGAAUACAUAUUGAAGAAGGUUCUCCAAAAAAAAAAAAAAAAAAUACAUAUUGAAGACACCACACGUUCAUCUAGGUGAUAUCUUUUUGGGUUAAUAGCCAAAAAAUACACGAACAUUCACCGAAUUUGCAAAUUGCACAUGACCUUCAAAAAUAGCCCCAGAAUACAUGACCUUUCAAUUUAAUCGUGAUUUUC